rnacentral:rRNA from 1 species
UACAGAGGUCUCAAGCGUUGUUCGGAUUCAUUGGGCGUAAAGGGUGCGUAGGUGGCGCGGUAAGUCGGGUGUGAAAUUUCGGAGCUUAACUCCGAAACUGCAUUCGAUACUGCCGUGCUUGAGGACUGGAGAGGAGACUGGAAUUUACGGUGUAGCAGUGAAAUGCGUAGAGAUCGUAAGGAAGACCAGUGGCGAAGGCGGGUCUCGUGGACAGUUCCAUGACACUGAGGCACGAAGGCCAGGGGAGCAAACGGG